UGCAAGUCGAGCGAACAGAUGAGAAGCUUGCUUCUCUGAUGUUAGCGGCGGACGGGUGAGUAACACGUGGGUAACCUACCUAUAAGACUGGGAUAACUCCGGGAAACCGGGGCUAAUACCGGAUAAUAUUUUGAACCGCAUGGUUCAAUAGUGAAAGACGGUUUCGGCUGUCACUUAUAGAUGGACCCGCGCCGUAUUAGCUAGUUGGUAAGGUAACGGCUUACCAAGGCGACGAUACGUAGCCGACCUGAGAGGGUGAUCGGCCACACUGGAACUGAGACACGGUCCAGACUCCUACGGGAGGCAGCAGUAGGGAAUCUUCCGCAAUGGGCGAAAGCCUGACGGAGCAACGCCGCGUGAGUGAUGAAGGUCUUCGGAUCGUAAAACUCUGUUGUUAGGGAAGAACAAAUUUGUUAGUAACUGAACAAGUCUUGACGGUACCUAACCAGAAAGCCACGGCUAACUACGUGCCAGCAGCCGCGGUAAUACGUAGGUGGCAAGCGUUAUCCGGAAUUAUUGGGCGUAAAGCGCGCGUAGGCGGUUUCUUAAGUCUGAUGUGAAAGCCCACGGCUCAACCGUGGAGGGUCAUUGGAAACUGGGAAACUUGAGUGCAGAAGAGGAGAGUGGAAUUCCAUGUGUAGCGGUGAAAUGCGCAGAGAUAUGGAGGAACACCAGUGGCGAAGGCGGCUCUCUGGUCUGUAACUGACGCUGAUGUGCGAAAGCGUGGGGAUCAAACAGGAUUAGAUACCCUGGUAGUCCACGCCGUAAACGAUGAGUGCUAAGUGUUAGGGGGUUUCCGCCCCUUAGUGCUGCAGCUAACGCAUUAAGCACUCCGCCUGGGGAGUACGACCGCAAGGUUGAAACUCAAAGGAAUUGACGGGGACCCGCACAAGCGGUGGAGCAUGUGGUUUAAUUCGAAGCAACGCGAAGAACCUUACCAAAUCUUGACAUCCUUUGACCGCUCUAGAGAUAGAGUCUUCCCCUUCGGGGGACAAAGUGACAGGUGGUGCAUGGUUGUCGUCAGCUCGUGUCGUGAGAUGUUGGGUUAAGUCCCGCAACGAGCGCAACCCUUAAGCUUAGUUGCCAUCAUUAAGUUGGGCACUCUAGGUUGACUGCCGGUGACAAACCGGAGGAAGGUGGGGAUGACGUCAAAUCAUCAUGCCCCUUAUGAUUUGGGCUACACACGUGCUACAAUGGAUAAUACAAAGGGCAGCGAAUCCGCGAGGCCAAGCAAAUCCCAUAAAAUUAUUCUCAGUUCGGAUUGUAGUCUGCAACUCGACUACAUGAAGCUGGAAUCGCUAGUAAUCGUAGAUCAGCAUGCUACGGUGAAUACGUUCCCGGGUCUUGUACACACCGCCCGUCACACCACGAGAGUUUGUAACACCCGAAGCCGGUGGAGUAACCUUUUAGGAGCUAGCCGUCGAAGUGACAAAAG
rnacentral:rRNA from 1 species